UACGUAGGGCGCAAGCGUUAUCCGGAAUUAUUGGGCGUAAAGAGCUCGUAGGCGGUUUGUCGCGUCUGCCGUGAAAGUCCGGGGCUCAACUCCGGAUCUGCGGUGGGUACGGGCAGACUAGAGUGAUGUAGGGGAGACUGGAAUUCCUGGUGUAGCGGUGAAAUGCGCAGAUAUCAGGAGGAGCACCGAUGGCGAAGGCAGGUCUCUGGGGCCACUACUGACGCUGAGGAGCGAAAGCGUGGGGAGCGAAACAGGAUU
rnacentral:rRNA from 1 species